CUUGGAUAUGUGGACAAAAGCUUCGUUCGGCGAGAUGACGGAGUUCGACAGCAGCGUACAAACGACGCUCGCUGCUUGUAGCUUCGAGGAACGUGACCUUUUGGCUCCUGCGCGACAAUACGAGUUUGAGGAGUGGGAUACACGGGGAGAAUUUCGCAACCCGUGCGGCAAGGGAAAAGCAUUAGACUUUGUUCAAGUGCUUAUGGGGUG